UAGGAAGUGGUGUAAAGGGAGCACCGAGAGUUUUGAUCUCUUGAGUACGGGUUCGAAUCCCUUCUUUCUAA
rnacentral:tRNA from 1 species